rnacentral:rRNA from 1 species
GACGAACGCUGGCGGCGUGCCUAAUACAUGCAAGUAGAACGCUGAAGCUUGGUGCUUGCACCGAGCGGAUGAGUUGCGAACGGGUGAGUAACGCGUAGGUAACCUGCCUGGUAGCGGGGGAUAACUAUUGGAAACGAUAGCUAAUACCGCAUAAUAGUAGAUGUUGCAUGACAUUUGCUUAAAAGGUGCAAUUGCAUCACUACCAGAUGGACCUGCGUUGUAUUAGCUAGUUGGUGAGGUAACGGCUCACCAAGGCAACGAUACAUAGCCGACCUGAGAGGGUGAUCGGCCACACUGGGACUGAGACACGGCCCAGACUCCUACGGGAGGCAGCAGUAGGGAAUCUUCGGCAAUGGACGGAAGUCUGACCGAGCAACGCCGCGUGAGUGCAGAAGGUUUUCGGAUCGUAAAGCUCUGUUGUAAGAGAAGAACGAGUGUGAGAGUGGAAAGUUCACACUGUGACGGUAUCUUACCAGAAAGGGACGGCUAACUACGUG